GGGGGCAUAGGCUCAACGGCAAACCGCUUCUCUCCAAAAGAAGAUUUCUAGGUUCGAAUCCUAGUGCCCCCG
rnacentral:tRNA from 1 species